GGGCGGUUAGCUCAGUGGUUAGAGCGCUUGCUUCACACGCAAGAGGUCACAAGUUCAAGUCUUGUACCGCCCACCA
rnacentral:tRNA from 1 species